GAUGAACGCUGGCGGCGUGCCUAAUACAUGCAAGUCGAGCGAAUGGAUUAAGAGCUUGCUCUUAUGAAGUUAGCGGCGGACGGGUGAGUAACACGUGGGUAACCUGCCCAUAAGACUGGGAUAACUCCGGGAAACCGGGGCUAAUACCGGAUAACAUUUUGAACCGCAUGGUUCGAAAUUGAAAGGCAGCUUCGGCUGUCACUUAUGGAUGGACCCGCGUCGCAUUAGCUAGUUGGUGAGGUAACGGCUCACCAAGGCAACGAUGCGUAGCCGACCUGAGAGGGUGAUCGGCCACACUGGGACUGAGACACGGCCCAGACUCCUCCGGGAGGCAGCAGUAGGGAAUCUUCCGCAAUGGACGAAAGUCUGACGGAGCAACGCCGCGUGAGUGAUGAAGGCUUUCGGGUCGUAAAACUCUGUUGUUAGGGAAGAACAAGUGCUAGUUGAAUAAGCUGGCACCUUGACGGUACCUAACCAGAAAGCCACGACUAACUACGUGCCAGCAGCCGCCGUAA
rnacentral:rRNA from 1 species